GACUUUGAAGCUCAUUGUAGCAUUAAUUUGCAAAAUUAAAGGCGAAUAAUAUUCCAAGGUUU
rnacentral:tRNA from 1 species